GAAACAACUCUGCUUCCUCUCUGUAGGAGACUUGGCACAGGAGAGGGAGAUGCAGAGGCUGGACCUAUCAGGCCAGGGAGCUACCUUCUGGAGACUUCAAUCAGAAGGGGUAGGGAGUUUUCAACUCUAGAUUUCCAAAAGUGUUCUGCUUGGGUCCCUUUGGUGACCACGGGGACUUGAAAACCCUCAUCAGUCCUGGGGGAUGUUCUGGUUUCUCCAAAGAACUGUGAAGGUCAUUGGGUACCACAAAAUAUUUGUCAUCAGGACCAAAAGGCCUCAAAAGCUCAGUGUGACUGUUGUGUGUCCGCCAGGUUCAGUGGAAACAUGGCUCCUCUCAGCCUCUUUGCUGAUUCUGGUUUGAAGGUAUUUAAUUCCUCCCUCUCUCCAGGUACGGUUUACAAACAGGCACGGAGAACCCAGCAGCAAGAAGUUUUCCCUGAUACUAUUUUUGGGUGCAGGCACAGGACUGGGGAUGGAACCCAGCGAUGCUUUACCUCUGAUCUACAUUCCUCGUCCUUUUCACUUUUUAUGGAGACAGGGUCUUGCUAAGUUGCUAAGGCUGGUCUGGAACUUGCAAUCUGCCUUCUUCAGCCUCCUGAGAAGCUGAGAUUACAGGCGUGUGUCACCAAGCCCAUCGGGAGGUUGGCUCUGAAAGCCAUAAAGGGCUGUUGAUCCUCAGGGAGUUGGGACGCAGGUGAGAGCAUGAAAACUUGGAUGAACAGCUUCCCUUUCUACAGACACAGACGGUCAGUCUUCAUAAAGUAAUAAGAACACAUGUCAUUUUGUGCUACUAAUAAAUGCCUCAUUUGUCCACCAUGGCUAAUAUUUAGGAAUUCUUAUUACUUAGUCUGGGGACUACACUCUGGACAUUUCUGGUGUCCUUCAUUUUGUGCCUUGAGGAAGAGUUUCCCUCUGAGUUGAUACUCUGACUACUACUGCUGCACACACACACACACAUACAGAGAGAGAGAGAGAGAGAGAGAGAGAGAGAGAGAGAGAGAGGGAGAGGGAGAGAUUGAUUUUGUUGUAGUUGUUGCUCUGUGGUGGGGGGGAUCAAACCCAGGGCCUUGUAGGUGCCAGGCCUCACUCUGCCACAGCUACUCUGUGCUGGUGCACUUAUUUAUAAAAUUUCUAGGUCUUGAUUAUCCCCACAGGCUUUACUUGCAUGUUUGCUGUGACAACGGAUGGUCCUACCAGCAGGAGGCAAGGAACACAGGUGAGUCUGUCUACAGGUUGCAAAAGGUCCAU
rnacentral:lncRNA from 1 species